GACGAACGCUGGCGGCGUGCUUAACACAUGCAAGUCGAACGGAAAGGCCCUGCGCUUGCUGCGCUCUCGUGAGGCGAACGGGUGAGUAACACGUGAGUAUCCUGCCCUUGUCUGUGGGAGAACUUCAGGAAACUGCGGCUAAUACAGCAUAGGAUCUCUUGCUGCAUGGUGUUGGUUAGAAAGUUUCGGCGGUUGGGGAUGGUCUGGCUGCUUAUCAGCUUGUUGGGCGGGUAGUGGCUUACCAAGGCUGUGACGGCUAGCCUGCCUGAGAGGCGGACCGGCGUCAAGGGGCCUGAGAUAGGGACCAGACUCCUACGGGAGGCAGCAGUGGGGAGUCUUGCAGAAUGGGCGGACGCGUGAUGCAGCAACGCCGGGUGCGGGAUGCCGGCCUUCGGGUUGUAAACCGAUUUGGCAGGUGACGAAGCGUGAGUGACGGUAAUGGGUAAAGAAGCACCGGCUAACUACGUG
rnacentral:rRNA from 1 species